UAGACACAUCCAUACCUUGUUAAGAAUUCUAACGUUGGCCUCCCUGUGGCGAAAAGUUUGGUUAUGUCGCAAUUGGCGAAUUAAUAACUAGAGAAACGACGAAAUAGACAAAGGAGAAGAAAAGAGUGACUGUUAUUAAAAAGUUUAAAUAAAGUAUUUAUUGGAUUGAAAUUAUUUAUUAAUAUGUCCAGCUAGAACUAAUUCAUAUGUAAAUCUAAACAUCGAUCACGUUCAACUGCGAAAGAUAAGUUAUUGCAUUCGUUAACCUAACAUAAAGAUAUAAGCAAUCAUUAUUUUUGAUGAUAGAAUGGAAGAGAUACGACGUCCGGAAUUUCGUCAUCAAUUUUACUUAUCUACAAUAAGAAAUGGUAUUGGACUCAUGACGACACAUGAACGUUGGCGUCGUGAUUUUAUUCGUUAUCGUUAAUAGUACAAUGUGAUGUGAAAUAAUUUUACAUGGAGGACAAUUAAUGAAAAAAUCCAUAUACGUGAGCGCGUUUUUGAUUACGCUUUUUUAACAAGUCAUGUUGUAUUUCUUCGAAUAUCGUUAUGAGAUAAAAAUGGUAGACUUUAUGUCGAUAAUAUGAAUGAACACUACUUAAAUCAUGGAUGUAUUAUUCGUAGAAUAAAUCUCGCUGGUUGUUCUAAUGUGUUUGACAGUUUCGUGGCAAAAGUCGAAGUCGUGAUUUCGUUCUAUUUCUUUCAUAGCGAUCUACUUAGAAAUAAUCUUAUAAUUGUAACGUCUGUACGCUGACGUCAUGGUUUCAUUCGUUAUUAUUUUUGCGGUAGGCGCAACGCUAUAUUUGUUCGAUGGAUACUAGCUCGACACGCCUUCGUAUCGUCCUUAUUGAUUUCAGCUAAAAAACAGGCGUGUCAUACAGCUAUCACAGAACUUUUUUAAGUGAUGAGUGAAUUUUUUAAUUUCUCCGAUUUUGUAAUCACUUGUGAACAAUGAAAAGGUUCGAAUCGAUACGGAUGAUUGGUUGGAAUUAAUUUGUAGAAAAGCAUUGAGUAAUUAAUUUUUCUUUGGAAAUUUAAUCUGCAAUAUGUUAUAUUUUUCUGUCAUGAAAAUAGUGAAGAAUUCGAUAAUAUGCAAAUAAGAUCAAGGUCUUAACAUGGAGUGGGCAUUUCAAAAAUCGGUCCACCCGAGCAAGAUCAGAGUAUUAAAAUCGAGCAAAAUUCCAAGAGCUCACAUCUUAGAGUUAUUGUAAUUAAUCACAUUUGGAAAAAGGUGAAUGACACUGAUUUCAUUCCUUGAUGAUCUAACUUAGAAGGAAGGUGAUAAAAAAAAGAAAAGAAAGCUAGAAAAUGCGAUGGAACGCGUACGAGCUUGAGAACGAUGGAAUUGUUAACGAUGGUUAGACAUCUUGAAGAUUCCUUCAUUCAGUUUAAAUCAGAAUAGAAAGAUGCAA